AUUGAACGCUGGCGGCCUGCUUUACACAUGCAAGUCGAACGGUAACAGGCCUUCGGGUGCUGACGAGUGGCGAACGGGUGAGUAAUGCAUCGGAACGUACCCAGAGGUGGGGGAUAACGCAGCGAAAGCUGUGCUAAUACCGCAUGUGAUCUGAGGAUGAAAGCGGGGGACCGAGCAGCAAUGUUUGGCCUCGCGCCUUUGGAGCGGCCGAUGUCGGAUUAGCUAGUUGGUGGGGUAAAGGCCUACCAAGGCGACGAUCCGUAGCUGGUCUGAGAGGACGACCAGCCACACUGGGACUGAGACACGGCCCAGACUCCUACGGGAGGCAGCAGUGGGGAAUUUUGGACAAUGGGCGCAAGCCUGAUCCAGCAAUGCCGCGUGCGGGAAGAAGGCCUUCGGGUUGUAAACCGCUUUUGGCAGGAACGAAACGGUGUCCGCUAAUACCGGGCGCUAAUGACGGUACCUGCAGAAUAAGCACCGGCUAACUACGUG
rnacentral:rRNA from 1 species